GACGGAGGAUGCAAGUGUUAUCCGGAAUCACUGGGCGUAAAGCGUCUGUAGGUGGUUCGAAAAGUCCACUGUUAAAAAUUGAGGCUUAACUUCAAAGAUGCCGUGGAAACUUUCAAACUAGAGUAUGGUAGGGGUAGAGGGAAUUUCCAGUGGAGCGGUGAAAUGCGUAGAGAUCGGAAAGAACACCAACGGCGAAAGCACUCCGCUGGGCCGACACUGACACUGAGAGACGAAAGCUAGGGGAGCGAAUGGG
rnacentral:rRNA from 1 species